ACGGUGCCACCUCCUCUGUUUACUUCAUCACUGGCCUCGACUACCUCCGUUCCCAUCAUUAUUGCCACUACCAGAACCUUCACUCUCUAUUGGAAUCAUCACCUCAAUUGCACCUCUGUUAUAGUUACCACCAACAUUGUCAUCAAUGCUACUAUUGUCCCUACUGCUGCCACCUGUACUCCUCUAUUGUUGUCACUGUUAGCACUGAUAUUUUGGUUGUUGCUGUCACUGACACUGUCUCUACCUCCUGCUACCAUCGCUACCAUCUCUCUUAUCAUUAUUGCUACUACCAACUAUUGAAAUGAAUUAAGAAGGUAACAUGUUUCUUGUGGUACAUUAUUCAUUUCCUUCUUUAAUCAUCCCAAACAUUAAACAUAUAUGGUAUGUUAGGAUUUUACCCGUCAGUAUCUUAUCAUUCCCUAACCUACACCUUCUCCUACUCACCUCACUACCAUACCGAGUUACCAAAGCAUAGUCUUUUCUAUUAGAAGGUAUUUAUAUAUUAUUUAUGUAAUCUUAGUAGUCUCAUGUGUUUCUAAAUAAUAUAGGUUGUUCCAGUCAUAUUAGUUGGAUUUAGGAAUUAUUUUGAUUGUAUCUUUUUCUGAUGGUGAGCGUGUAGUCCUAUUUUGUCAAAUUGCUUCGGGUUUUCGUCUAACAUUUUCUAUACAAAUGAUAGGUGAUCGAGCAUAUGGAGGAGGAUCAGGCCUGUCUGUUUGGUGAAGUUGUUCUGAGUCAUUUUCAGCCAAAGGUUCUUAUAAUUUCCACUCCAAACUAUGAAUACAAUGUGAUACUCCAGAGGUCUAGUAUGACAGUAAACCAAGAAGAUGAUCCAGAGGAGAAUACUCAACUGCAGUCAUGCAAAUUUCGGAAUCAUGACCACAAGUUUGAGUGGACAAGGGAGCAGUUUAGUUGCUGGGCAACUAAGCUAGCAACAAAGCAUAAUUACUUGGUAGAAUUCGGUGGGGUUGGUGGCUCUGCUGAUGUCGAACCUGGAUUUGCUUCGCAGAUUGCUGUAUUUAGAAGGAAAUUAUCAUGUCAGGAUGAUGGUCUUCUGAAAAAGGAAAAUUCCAUCAAAUGUUACAACGUUUUAUGGGAGUGGAAGAGCAGGGAAGGCUCGGAUUCUGCUGCAUGACAAACAUCUGAUUAUUUUUAAUUUAAAGGGGACGGGUUGGCAGAGGACCGGUGCAUUCAGCUGUUUCCCGGCUAAAGGGGGCUCGCGGUCGCUGGCUUCUUGUUUAUUUGUCUAUAUAUAAAUACUCAUUUGAUCCCAAUUCUCAGCAACUGAUAUUUUCGUACCCUAAGUUUUUGUUUGGGGGAAGAAAGGGGUAGAUAACCCCUCCUAAUUAUUUAAGAAAAUCAACUCGACCCUCUCUAAUUCUCUGUAUCAAUUGUUACCAUUUGAUAGCAUAUCGUUGUAAAUGGCAACUAUAACAGUGUUUGUAGACUUGUAUAUUCUGUGUUAUCAUAUAUUUUAUCAAAUAGCA